rnacentral:rRNA from 1 species
UUUUAUGAGAGUUUGAUCCUGGCUCAGGACGAACGCUGGCGGCGUGCCUAAUACAUGCAAGUCGAACGCUUCUUUUUCCACCGGAGCUUGCUCCACCGGAAAAAGAGGAGUGGCGAACGGGUGAGUAACACGUGGGUAACCUGCCCAUCAGAAGGGGAUAACACUUGGAAACAGGUGCUAAUACCGUAUAACAAUUGAAACCGCAUGGUUUUGAUUUGAAAGGCGCUUUCGGGUGUCGCUGAUGGAUGGACCCGCGGUGCAUUAGCUAGUUGGUGAGGUAACGGCUCACCAAGGCGACGAUGCAUAGCCGACCUGAGAGGGUGAUCGGCCACAUUGGGACUGAGACACGGCCCAAACUCCUACGGGAGGCAGCAGUAGGGAAUCUUCGGCAAUGGACGAAAGUCUGACCGAGCAACGCCGCGUGAGUGAAGAAGGUUUUCGGAUCGUAAAACUCUGUUGUUAGAGAAGAACAAGGAUGAGAGUAACUGUUCAUCCCUUGACGGUAUCUAACCAGAAAGCCACGGCUAACUACGUGCCAGCAGCCGCGGUAAUACGUAGGUGGCAAGCGUUGUCCGGAUUUAUUGGGCGUAAAGCGAGCGCAGGCGGUUUCUUAAGUCUGAUGUGAAAGCCCCCGGCUCAACCGGGGAGGGUCAUUGGAAACUGGGAGACUUGAGUGCAGAAGAGGAGAGUGGAAUUCCAUGUGUAGCGGUGAAAUGCGUAGAUAUAUGGAGGAACACCAGUGGCGAAGGCGGCUCUCUGGUCUGUAACUGACGCUGAGGCUCGAAAGCGUGGGGAGCAAACAGGAUUAGAUACCCUGGUAGUCCACGCCGUAAACGAUGAGUGCUAAGUGUUGGAGGGUUUCCGCCCUUCAGUGCUGCAGCUAACGCAUUAAGCACUCCGCCUGGGGAGUACGACCGCAAGGUUGAAACUCAAAGGAAUUGACGGGGGCCCGCACAAGCGGUGGAGCAUGUGGUUUAAUUCGAAGCAACGCGAAGAACCUUACCAGGUCUUGACAUCCUUUGACCACUCUAGAGAUAGAGCUUCCCCUUCGGGGGCAAAGUGACAGGUGGUGCAUGGUUGUCGUCAGCUCGUGUCGUGAGAUGUUGGGUUAAGUCCCGCAACGAGCGCAACCCUUAUUGUUAGUUGCCAUCAUUUAGUUGGGCACUCUAGCAAGACUGCCGGUGACAAACCGGAGGAAGGUGGGGAUGACGUCAAAUCAUCAUGCCCCUUAUGACCUGGGCUACACACGUGCUACAAUGGGAAGUACAACGAGUCGCAAAGUCGCGAGGCUAAGCUAAUCUCUCAAAGCUUCUCUCAGUUCGGAUUGUAGGCUGCAACUCGCCUACAUGAAGCCGGAAUCGCUAGUAAUCGCGGAUCAGCACGCCGCGGUGAAUACGUUCCCGGGCCUUGUACACACCGCCCGUCACACCACGAGAGUUUGUAACACCCGAAGUCGGUGAGGUAACCUUUUGGAGCCAGCCGCCUAAGGUGGGAUAGAUGAUUGGGGUGAAGUCGUAACAAGGUAGCCGUAUCGGAAGGUGCGGCUGGAUCACCUCCUUU